GCGGCCUCUGCCCGGGCUGCUGUGUCCUGCGGAGCUCCGAGCACGUGCAGGUGAGUGAGGUUCCAAGGAGCAAGGGGUCUGGAGGUUUUACUGGCUUAGGCGAGAAGCGUGGUAAAAAGGUUCCUUCCUAGGCAGGGAAAUAAACUGGGGUUUGUUUAUUAUUACCUCCGGCUUUGGAGGUCACCUUGAAGGGACUAGCCCGAAGAGUCACCUCCAAUGAGGUGCGGUCCCUAUCCAGUUAGGGAGUCACCUGGAAUCCGGCUCAGUUUAGCAUUUCCAGAACCCGGAACUGGUACAAAAAAAAAAAAGGUUUGUGAGGAACACGUGUCCGCGGAGAACCUGGUCUGCUUCAGCCCACGCCCUGAAAGGGUUUUUAGACCAGAACAAUGAGGCCUGUAUUCAUUUUCCUGUUGCUUUAAAUUGGUUGGAAUUGGUUAGAAGUUAAGUUUGGGCUUGGAUAACUGGCCCUUAGAUAUGUUUAAAUGGUAUGUAAAUCGCCAGCCACUGAGGGCCUUAGAACAAGUCCUCCCACACUACGUCUAUAUUCAAUUACUAUUCGAAGUGUUAACUUUUAUUGUCUUUAAAAAUGUCCUGUAUUCAAGUCGCCUCUCUAGAUUCAGACAGCACUCUGAGUAACUUCCGCUUCUAAAUCACCGGUGCGCCUCCCACCCCCACUAUCUUUACUAAGGUGCCAUUUUGUUGUUAAACUGAGUGUACACUGUAUAUCAUAUAUCCUGUGGGGUUUUUUAUUUUUAUUUAUUUAUUUAUUUAUUUUUUUUGUUACGUUUGGCUUUUUGAGAAGUGCAGGAUGGCUGGUUCUCUCUUUUUUUUUUUAAAGAUUUACUUAAGUACACUAGUCUUCAGACACACCAGAAGAGGGCAUCAGAUCCCAUUACAGAUGGUUGUGAGCUACCACGUGGUUGCUGGGUUUUGAACUCAGGACCUCUGGAAGAGCAGUCAGUGUUCUUUUAACCACUAUCUCUCCAGACCCUGAAGGCAGUGGCUUGGCUUGGCUUCCUACAGCUUAAGAUUCCAGGGUUCAGCCACCAGAUCGCGGUGCACUGUGGUCCUUCUACCUGAUAUACAGGGAUACUGUUUCCUGCCAUUCCACACAUGAGAACUCCAGGUAGUAGACUUGGUUAAUGGAAUGGUUAUUUGGGAGUAGAGUUCCAAAAGUUAAGCUGUUUCUCCACUGUUUCUUUGACUCAGCCCAACAAAAUGAAGGGGAUUUGAGGGCCAGAGAUGGGUUCUGUUUUUUUAAACUGUGCGGGUGUUGACUGACUCUAAUCUAGGAUGUUUUGAUUUCAUAGUGCCCAGCUGCCAGUUUGAGGAGAUGCUUGCCCUGGAUGCCUUGAAAGUAGGGUGGUCUUCACCAGGCUAAAAGAAUGAUUGGGGAUUUAGCUCAGCGGUAGAGCGCCUGCCUAGCAAGAGGAAGGCCCUGGAAGGCCCUGGGUUCGGUCCCCAGCUCCGGAAAAGAAAAGAAAACAAAACAAAACAAAAAAGAAUGAUCCACAGCAGGGUGCUGUGGUUCUCAGGUGAGUGUCUAUUCUAGCAUUGACUGCUUCCUCUGCCAGGCCUGUGGACUACUUUGUAUGUAUCAGGAAACAAUUGGGAAACAAGUUCACUCUUGCCACUUACUGUAGAACUUUGGGGGGUUUUUUGUUUUGUUUGUUUGAAAGUAGCAUAAAAUAUUUUUGUGUCUGCCAUUCCAACUAAGGAAUGACUUGUAGGAAUAUUCUAUGUCUUAGAUAACAAUGUAUCUUGUUUCUGUUCACUGCUAAGUGUCUAAGUUUGGUUCCUGCCAAAGGGCAGAGGCUGUUGGACAAAGCUGAGAGCAUAGAGACUUCUGUGAUUUCUGUAUUCAUGUCAGCUACCUGGGGUGGUCCUGGGAUGCAUGAGAUGGGAAGGGAGAGGGAUUUCUGGAACAGUCCAGCAGUUGUCAGCUGCCCAGGCUGUGUGGUGCCUGUGAUUGUGUUACACUGUUGGAAGAGCAAAGGCUGCUUUAGAAGGGUUGGCUCCAAGCACUGUUUUGGUGUUUGGUGCUGAGUACCUUCAGGCAGUGUAUUGCAUCCCUGAGAGUGGAAUGACUCCUUGUGGAGUUGGUCCUAGUCUAGGUGCGAACAAUUUUCAUGUUAACAGACAAAAGAAUUGGGACAGGGACAAAGCUGUGUGUUUAUAGGACACUUGCCUCACAUGUACUAAGCCGUGUACCUUACUGACAGUGUGUCACCUUUUCCUCCUUAUUCUAGAGCUGAAUGAGAUCUGCGUCCACCCAGGACUUCAGGUUUCUGACUACACCGGGUUUUGAGUAAUGUAUGUGGUCUCUGAUGUAGAGGUACUUCAGUUCAGAUGGGGGAAGUUAAGUUUGCCUUAGAGGGUUACAGAACUGAUGAAAUUCCAGAGAAUGAAGUCCAGCUAUGCUUUGGCAGAUGGGACAGCUCACACCCACGACCUCUGAGUUACAUACAUCUCCAGCUAUAAUUUGGGGGGGGGGCUAGAUGAUAUCUGUGUACUACAUAUGGCUAGCUACUUGCUAAUUAAAAAGUAAGUGGUUUUCAGACAUAUCUAGUUGGAUGGUAGCCAUCUUAGAAUGUUCCAGAAAGUUUAGGAUACUGCUUUGUAAAAGCAAAGGUUUAUAAAGACUUUUUAAAUUUAUUUUUAUUAUUUAUUUAUUUAUUUUUUAAUAUUUUUUAUUUUUUUAUUUUUUAUCCCUAUAGUAAAUGUUGUUAGUACUGUCUUUGGCUUUUGCAACUAUGUUGCUUCUGUGUGUGAAAAGUAAUGUAUCGGCAAAUGAACAUGGCUAUAUUCCAAUAAAACAUAACUGAUGAACACUGACAUUGGGAUUUCAUUGGCAAUUUCAGAGUCAACGUUCCCAAAUGUUUGAAAGCUUAAGAUCUUCCCAAGGCACAUUGACAAAGAGAUAGCAGGAUAAGGAUUAGUAACAUUUCUGACCUU
ensembl:lncRNA